UAAGGCGCAAUGAAAGUGAAGGUCAGGCACAGCACUGACUGAGGCAGGAUCCGUCCGGGUGAGCGAAGCUCUUCUUCCUUUCGCGGGUUCGUCCCGCGGGGGAGCUCGGCGGCGCACUGCCAGCCCAUCUCGGCCGCUUCCUGUCGGCGAGGUGGAGCUAGAGCGCACACGUUGGGACCCGAAAGAUGGUGAACUAUGCUCGGGCAGGACGAAGCCAGAGGAAACUCUGGUGGAGGUCCGUAGCGAUUCUGACGUGCAAAUCGAUCGUCGGACCCGAGUAUAGGGGCGAAAGACUAAUCGAACCGUCUAGUAGCUGGUUCCUUCC
rnacentral:rRNA from 1 species